rnacentral:lncRNA from 1 species
CUCUUAAAGUAGUUCAAGCAUAGCCUGUCGCUGCCCAGAAAUCAUUCCAACGUGUGUAAGGUCCCCAAAUUCAAGGAUCAAGUCAUUCCUCUUCUCAUUGGAUGUACCUGCAGCUACCUGUAAGUUGUUUGCAAUUUGCAAAUAAAGUCAUGAGUAAAUGUCUAUAAGAGCCAUUUCUUUAUAGUUUUAACAAGAAAAUCUGUUACCUUAUUUUGCAGAAGCUUGUUUUCUUCCCUCAGCAUCUUUUCCUGCAGGUAGAGAUGUGGAGGUAAGUAGGUUGACUGAUUUUUAAUAUGCUAUUAUAAUUGCAGUCAACUGUCUGUGUCCUUGAGUCCUCCACAAAUUCCGUUGUGAUGAAACUAGGCUAUAAUGGAUAAAUUGAUUCAAGCUACUUAUAUAGUUAUUGUUGCAAGUCCACAGAACAUUCAAAUGCUAGUACUAUAUAUAGUUGUAGAGAAGAAUUUCAGUGUUGCAAGAACUUUAUUUCUAAGUCUAAUCAUACAUCAGAAGAUGCGUAGCAGAUAUAUCUGUUAGGAACCUCUAUAUCUAAAUACACUAUAAAUAUAAUAUCAACCGCAGAUCCAGCCCAGUGGAAAAUUUUCCUUGACAUGAUGUUGAUUGACAUAUAACUGUAUCGGAGAAAGAUAAUCUUUCUCGUUUCAUAGAAUUUGAUGAGGAUUGAGAAUAUGCUAUCUACUUUUGAGGGCAUAUAUUCUUCAUACACAAAUUUCAGUAGUAAAAAUGGAAAUAGGAAAAAUGUUUCUAAAAAAGUGUAAGGCUGCAGAUUGCUUUGACAUACCACUUCACUUAGACUGGUUAUUGAUUCCAUCAGUAAUCGUGUCUGCACGAAAAUAUCACAUGAGGUAAAGUAAUAAGAAACCCGAAAUCAUGAAAACCAGAAGUUGUUAAGAAACAAAAGAUGAGAGUUACGGAAUCAACAGAAGUGUGCUUGAAUAGGGGAGGAACAUUGAAAAUUUGUCAGUCUCCUCCCAAAUGAUACAUGGCUUAUUCAUCCUCUUGCAGAACUUUCACCAUCUUACUUUUCUGGGCCUCUUUCUUUUUCCCGCUCUCUGUUAGUUGUUUGUCUGCUUCUCAUGUAUGUUAUAGUUACACCAUUAUAUUCAAAAGUCUGAUCUCAUUUUAGAUAACUAGUUUGUUAAUUGUACAGUAAAGAUAGAGGCAAGCUGAUUAACAAUUCAUGCACUCGAAGAUUCCAAUCUACUGAUCUCAGGAAAGAUGCAAGACAUGGUACUGUACCCAGAUAGAGAAAAUUGCUUUGUGGGCCUAAUUUUUGGAAACAACAAUAACCUUAUAACUCUCAUCAACCCACACUUGUCCAACCAUCUACACAUUAGCAUGUCUAGUAAACCAGUUUAGGAAUAUUAACCUUGAUGUAGCUGUCAUUCUAGCUCUUUUCGCGCCAUAACUAUCAUUAGUGUCACAACAAAUAUGGAACAAAGUACAUUAUUUUACUAUGAUGCGAAGAACCUUUUAUUUCUUAUUUGGUCAUUUACCUUUUUAAGGAUAAGGAUGUCCCAAGACACCUUUAUUCUACUAAAAGUCAAAGAAGAAAUCUUUCUGCUAUUAAAGUCAAAGAUAGUAAUUACCACAUCUCAUAGUGACUUUUUCUAGUUAUGCAGGCUUAAUCUCGAAAUACUUCAAUGUGCUAAAUACAAUUAUACAAAGUAGCCAUGUUAACUAAUCAUAAAAAUUAGAGACACGGAUCUAUGAAAUCCUUUUACUGAAACUAUGUAACAGUGGAAGUGGAAACACAGAUAUGAAAUCCUUUUACUGAAAAUAUCUGACAGUCGAAGUGGCAACACCAAUACAAAGAAUUAUUCUCUCUACUGUCAGAUUGCAGAUUUGCACGAGUUCUUUCAACACAUAGCUUACACAGUUACACCUAUUUUGAGAAAACUGGAGAAAAACAUACCU